AGAAUUCUGGUGAAAAGGUUCAAUCUGUACUGCCGUAUCACCAACAUCUGUCUUGAGGUGGUGAGCCAACAUGAUAAAAUGAGAAGCAUUACUUUCAGAGCAGCUUUCUUAGUAUCUCCAAUACUGUGUUAAAUGCAAGUUUAAACUUGCAGUACACUUACAGCAGGCUAGUUGGCAUGGGAGAAAGAAGACAGGAGCUCCUGAAAUUGCUGCGGAGACCGGCUUCAGAGCAGAUAAUGAAUACCAAUUCGUGAUGAUCAGUUCUACCUGGUUGACAGAACCUAGCAGUUUUUCAUUGUCUCUGAAGUAG
rnacentral:lncRNA from 1 species